GGGAUUGUAGUGAAAUCGGUCAGAGCACCGCCCUGUCAAGGCGGAAGCUGCGGGUUCGAGCCCCGUCAGUCCCG
rnacentral:tRNA from 1 species